CCUACGGGAGGCUGCAGUGGGGAAUUUUUCGCAAUGGGCGCAAGCCUGACGACGCAACGCCGCGUGGGGGAUGACGGUCUUCGGAUUGUAAACCCCUGUCGAGCGGGACGAAUGGCCCGCGACCUAAUACGUCGUGGGAGUGACGGUACCGCUAAAGGAAGCCACGGCUAACUCUGUGCCAGCAGCCGCGGUAAUACAGAGGUGGCAAGCGUUGUUCGGAAUUACUGGGCGUAAAGGGCGCGUAGGCGGCCUUCUAAGUCAGACGUGAAAUCCCCCGGCUCAACCUGGGAACUGCGUCUGAUACUGGGAGGCUCGAGUGCGGGAGAGGGAUGUGGAAUUCCAGGUGUAGCGGUGAAAUGCGUAGAUAUCUGGAGGAACACCGGUGGCGAAGGCGGCAUCCUGGACCGACACUGACGCUGAGGCGCGAAAGCUAGGGUAGCAAACGGGAUUAGAUACCCUAGUAGUC
rnacentral:rRNA from 1 species